rnacentral:rRNA from 1 species
CACGUAGGGGGCAAGCGUUGUCCGGAUUUAUUGGGCGUAAAGAGCUCGUAGGCGGUUCGGUAAGUCGGGUGUGAAACCUCCAGGCUCAACCUGGAGACGCCACCCGAUACUGCUGUGACUAGAGUCCGGUAGGGGAGCGUGGAAUUCCUGGUGUAGCGGUGAAAUGCGCAGAUAUCAGGAAGAACACCCGUGGCGAAGGCGGCUCUCUGGUACGGAACUGACGCUGAGACGCGAAAGCGUGGGGAGCGAACAGG